GUCGGGGGAGGCAAGCGUUAUCCGGAGUCAUUGGGCGUAAAGGGUACGUAGGCGGCUAGUCAAGUCUGAGGUUAAAGACCACAGCUUAACUGUGGGAAGGCCUUGGAAACUGACUGGCUAGAGUGGGGCAGGGGUUGCGGGAAUUCCCGGUGUAGCGGUGAAAUGCGUAGAUAUCGGGAAGAACACCUGAGGCGAAAGCGCGCAACUGGGCCCUAACUGACGCUGAGGUACGAAAGCUAGGGGAGCGAAUGGG
rnacentral:rRNA from 1 species